CUCUCCCUCUUGCUGUCUUUGGCAAUGGUAGAACUCACACUGGUGAGAUAUCUGGAUCCGGUGGUUCUAGACUUGCCAACUACCGCCUGGGGGUC
rnacentral:pre_miRNA from 1 species